AUAUACACAAAGCUUCGUUUUUUGUUUUUCUACGGCCUCAUCGUAAAGAUAGGAUUUGUUACAAAUCUAUUUUGGUUUUUUAUUUCAUUUUCUCAAGGACAUCUAGCCGCAUCUAGCGGUGGCAAUAACAGCUUAGACGACAACACGCGAGGUUUUCGUUUUUUCUCCUUCUGCUUUGAUUUGGAGAGGAAAACCUGAAAUCACUGCGGAUGCCAAUUUAUGGCUUGCGCGACUGCAUUACGGCCACAUAAUUGGCGUAUAUAUUGAAAGAAAAAAAAAAACGAGACCUAUUCUUUACGCGGUUGAAUUUCUCGUUCUUGGUCGUUUACUUUCGAAACUAGACUAUGUGUGACAAUGAAGAAGACGCCACAGUAUUGUUGACAGCUGGAGGACAAGAAAGCUUGAACGAUGAUUUACAAAUAGCAAGCAACAAUCAACAACAACGAUUAUCGAACAAUGGACCAGCAAUAUCCAAGCCAAAUUCCAAUGUCUUUCUUUUUUGCUCGGCCAGUAUGGCAGCCUUGGGUGGCUUACUGUUUGGCUAUGACAUUGGAAUAAUUUCAACUGCCCUGCCUCAAAUCAAAGUUGAAUUCUCGCUGACUUGCUUUCAGCAGGAAAUGGUUGUCAGCCUAAUGCUUGUUGGCGCUCUUUUUGCAUCCCUUGUUGGAGGUGUCUGCAUUGACAAAAUCGGUAGCAGAAUGGCCAUUAUUGUAAAUGCUUUGGUAUUUAUAGCAGGAGCACUUCUUUUGGCAUUUUCCAACAGUUAUGGCUGGCUGCUUGUUGGCAGAUUUAUUGUGGGUUUUGCUGUGGCCUUGUCUGCUGUCAGCGAAUGCAUUUAUAUAUCAGAGAUAUCCACCCCUCACAACAGAGGCAUGCUGGUAUCCCUAAAUGAAGUAGCCAUCACCGUUGGGUUCCUUUUGGCCUACGUAGUCGGCUUAAUAUUCAUUGACCGGUCGGAAGGCUGGAGAUACAUGUUUGGAUUAAGCGCGGUACCUGCAGCUGGGCAACUGCUUGGCAUGUUCAAACUGCCCAAUAGUCCACAUUUUUUGGUUUUGAAACAUCGCGAUGAAGAGGCCGAGAGUGCCGUCAGGAAUUUACGCCAAUUGAAGAGUACUGACCAAGUACGCCAAGAAUUGACCCACAUCCGUUUGUCGCUAGAGGCCGGUCGUUCGCAGAGCUGCUGGUCCUUGUGUUCCAGCGCCGACGGCUUGCGCGCAGCAAUGUUGAUUGCUUUUGGAUUGGUUAUGGGACAGCAAUUGACCGGCCAACCAAACGUUCUCAACUAUGCGUCAACCAUUUUCGAGCAAGUCGGUUUUUGCGGUCGGGAUCCGGUCAGUGCCACGUUUCCCACCGUCGGCCUUGGAGUCGUCAAGUUGGCGGCCACUUUGGUUUCACUGUUACUUGUCGAUCGGAUGGGCCGACGAAAAACCUUGCUGCUGGGCGCUCUCAUCAUGGCGGUCAGCUUGAUUUGUCUCGGUGUCUUUGCUCUUGUCCAGCAGCAAGGUAGCAGCGUCAUUAGACCUACCUGCACGGAUAGCCAGCCUUCGAAUCAUUCAGCGAAUGCCACUCUAUUCGUCUGCGGUUCAUCAUCCUCCUCCGACGUUAAUCCAGGGCUGCGCUAUAUGGCGCUAGCGGCCCUUAUGGCCUACGUUGCGGCCUAUUCUUUCAGUUUUGGGCCCGUCACUUGGCUGUUGCUCAGUGAGAUUUUCCCGGCUGCCAUUAAAGGUCGUGCUAUGGCCGUUUCGACGUCAGUCAACUGGGCCACCAAUUUAGUCAUAUCGGCUACUUUCCUCCGCACUGUGCAGCUCUUUUCGCUGGGUGGCGUGUUUUUCGGCUACGCCAUUCUGACAUUUUUGUCCAUAAUAUUCAUCUUCUUGGUCGUGCCUGAAACGAGGAACAAAACGCUCCAUCGGAUCACCAAGGAAUUGCAGACGACGACCUUCGCUGGCCGUAUGGCCCAACACGCUCGCCAAUUUCCGUGCUUCACUGAUUCGUCGUGGCUACUGAAACUCGGCGGCAAUUAUUCCCAGCUGGCCAACAAUAGUCGAGACGUCGCUAUGGAGAUGGCCGUAUCUUAAACGGCCAUUCGAGUUGCCCUACAUCUCUGUGAUUCCCAUUCCGCAAACCCCAAUCAAAUGAAUGAGAUCGAGAGAGACGCCGUUCGACGGAAGAUGUGGAGCACUCGUCGUCGGACGGCGAAGAUUACGGCGCAAUGGAUUCUGUCAUGUCCGGAGGCGAAGAAACUUCAGAAGCUGGACCAGCGGGAGCCAGUGGCUCUGGU
rnacentral:misc_RNA from 1 species